GUGGUUUAAAGCCUCUGCUGUCAGCUCCCCAUGUGCUGCUCCCAGGCACUGCUGGGCUGAGGUGCCUCAGAUAACAAAUAGAAGUGUCCAAGGGAUUAAGGAAGAAAAAAAAAUUACUGAAGGGUACUCAAGGGAAGAUUAGCAAUUGUGUAUUCCUCAGAGAAGCACUUCCACUGCCACUUGUCUCCUUGGGAAAAAGCCUGCUCCGAAGCCUCCAGUCACAUCUUUGAUGUAUCAGGAUUUUCACCUGUGAGCUCUCAGAUUGUGCUGAAUACUAAAGCCAGAGUUGCCUCUCCCCUUUGAGGAGAUAACCAGGCAGGAGAAGAAAGAAGAGGAGAGAGACCACGUGGAAAACAGAAGACAUGGGAUCAAAUCUCUUUUCUGAUCAACUCUGGAAGAUAGUUUCUAAAUCCCAGAAAAGAACUAUGGGUCUCAGACCAUCCUGCAAACACAUCUCUUAAAAUCUUCACCUGAAAUAAUUUCAUUUUGGAUAAAUAAAUACUCAUUGGAAGAA